UGGAUCAGCAUGGUGUGCAAAGUACAAACAACAAGCUUCCGAAAUGUAUCCCGCUCAAAUCCGUCUCUCUGACUCAAGAAUCCCCUUCAAAUUUUUUUGAAUUCCCAAAUGUCUGAUGUUGCAGUACCUUUUUCUUGCCUGCCAGCUUUACUUUUCUAUCAUUUCAAAUUCAAACACAAAAUGAAUCUGAUAUCUCCCACCAUAAUUCUCUCCCCCUUUCUCUCUCUACAAAACCCAGUUGUCUCUACAAUCAUUCAUCAUUCUAUUCAAAUGUAGGGGGUCUCGAAGACGAUGACAGAGGGCUUGGUUGGUAGCCAUAUUGGUGUAACAAGAUGACAGUGAGGAAUUUCGGCAGAGCCAAACUUCCGGCGACCGAGACUAGGGUUCCGAUCAACUUCUGUGAGCAGUUAGGGAUUUUGGCGAGGAGAUUAGGGUUCCGGCGAAACCCUUUCACUACAUGUUGUCACCUCUGUCGACAAUGGUAUUUUGCCCGCAUCUUUUCGGUUUUACACCUUAUUUAUAUCAUUUGGUAGCUAUUUUUUAUGUUAUUGAACUAAUUGAAGACCUGCAACGGUGAAAGUUCUUAGACUGGAUGGUCUGUAUAUGAUUUACGGAUCUUUGUGGAAUGCAGGAGAUGGGGGUUGUCACCAGGUACAUUCCACAUUUGGGCUUUAGUCUAUAUAACCUUCAUUUACUUAUUUAUUUACUUAUUAUUAUUUUGGAGAGGAUAAAAAGGAUCUAUUGCUGAUGCAUUUGUGAGUUUUAAGGCACUUAUAUAAUGCAGAAGUUCUAAGGCGCGUAUUAGCAGCAUAAAGGAAUCUAUUGCUGAUGCAUUUGUGAGUUUUUUUUGUUGCUAAAUUUCAAACAUUUCAAUCAUAUUGAUUCAUAUGGCUCAAAGUUUAACCAGAUUUAGCUAAAUGUUGAGGAGAUGAGUUGCAUAUAUGUUUGUGAAUUUUUUAGUUAAAUGUCUAAAACUGAAACAGUUAAUGAAAGAAUUAUCUUUUGUGUAUUUUAUAAAGAAGGGCUGUUCUAAAUACUAAUUAUGUUAUCUAUAAUAAUUAAUAUGAACAAAGAACAAUAUGUUUGGAGGUCCACCCUACCCAAACCAUUUGAACCCCUUAACUUUUACUCUUUUGAUCCUUUUGCACGGAGGGAAAAUCCUUACAGGUGGUACAGUUAUAAAGUCCGAAGAAAACUUCGUACAACCCUCAUUAAUUGAGUUCUCACCGAGUGCCAACGUUGUGAAAGAACUUGGUCCUAUCCUAUAUGUGCUGAAACUCACAAACCUAUAUAUGCUGAAACUUAGUCAGUUAUGAAACUCAUAGCCAGUCAAUAAUGGAAUCCGAUCUCUACCGGGGUUAACCUGGUGGGGUCUUUUAUUCCGAUAGCUGGUUUUCUUAUUUGUAAUUUUGUUUCUUUGUACUUUGGGAGUCUAGCUAUUGGCCAAGCUCUUCGUUUCUAAUGAUAAUUUGCUUUGACUGUUCUAAAAAAAUACACAUUCGAUAAUGUGUGCCCAAACAAAUUAAUAUGAACCAAUUGGGAUUUGUUUUUUCUCCUUUGAAUUUAUGCUUAAAGUCUGCUUUUUGUGUGUAGAAGCUUCACAAACUAGGCUAGCUAAACAAAUCAUGUGAGUUGGGCUUAACUUGUGGGAUUGUCCCAAAUAUGAUUUAAUAUCACUUUUACAUGUGAUUACUCUCUCUCAUAGAUUUCAUGGCUGGAAGACAUCGAUCGAUAGAGUGCUGAGAAACAUUAUUUCUUCUCUGCUCAACUGGAUUUCUCGUAGGACCAAUCAUAUGGAAACUUGCUGGAACUCUUGGUCCUCGAAUCUCCUUUGUAACUUGUAAUAUGCCAUAGUUGUUCUUUGUUUUGUUCGUUUGUAUCCAACAGCUCUUUGCUGGAGGCGUUUCUUUCGCCUUGUUUUAAUGAUAUCCCCCCCCCCC